GAUGAACGCUGGCGGCGUGCCUAAUACAUGCAAGUCGAGCGAACAGACGAGGAGCUUGCUCCUCUGACGUUAGCGGCGGACGGGUGAGUAACACGUGGAUAACCUACCUAUAAGACUGGGAUAACUUCGGGAAACCGGAGCUAAUACCGGAUAAUAUAUUGAACCGCAUGGUUCAAUAGUGAAAGACGGUUUUGCUGUCACUUAUAGAUGGAUCCGCGCCGCAUUAGCUAGUUGGUAAGGUAACGGCUUACCAAGGCGACGAUGCGUAGCCGACCUGAGAGGGUGAUCGGCCACACUGGACCUGAGACACGGUCCAGACUCCUACGGGAGGCAGCAGUAGGGAAUCUUCCGCAAUGGGCGAAAGCUUGACGGAGCAACGCCGCGUGAGUGAUGAAGGUCUUCGGAUCGUAAAACUCUGUUAUUAGGGAAGAACAAAUGUGUAAGUAACUAUGCACGUCUUGACGGUACCUAAUCAGAAAGCCACGGCUAACUACGU
rnacentral:rRNA from 1 species